GUCAUCCACGAAGUAGCAUUACUCAAUUUCUACGGCUCAAAAGCUUUUCCCGAUGAAUAUGAGCGCAACUAUAGGAGAGAUAACACCUCCACUCAUCGCAUGUAAUGUGAAAAUUUACCGCUACCACCGUCAAAAUUCAACACUGCCUUGCAGGAGCUGACGUAUCUCGUCGGACAACGCUGACGUAGACCCAGCCAUCGGGAAGCUGACUCAAUAUGGAUGUUAUUUCUGACCUUCAAGAGUCCAUCCUAAGCACCUCUCUGCUGUGCAAGCUGCUAGAUACAACUCUGGUUAAUCAACAAACAAAACUACCAAAGAACAUGGCAAAUUAUGCUGAAAAUUCUGAAGGGCAGAAUCCGGGAGAGGAGUUCUUUAAGAUUUGUUUAGAUUUGUCAAAGCUCCAGAAAACUUCAGAUGAACUUGAGGCAUUGAGAUGGUUGUUUUCCAACGAAAGAACAAAUGUUCUGAAUGCAAAAUCAGAACCUUCAAGCCAAAAUUCAAACCUUUUGAUCAAGUCAUCCGGUUCCUCGAAAUCAAAACAUCUGCAGGACAGAAAGAAUAUUCUGGUAUCUAAUAUCUAUCAUGCCAAUGGUGUAGAAGAAUGUGAUGAGAAAUUAAAAGAGGAAACUAGUUUCAGUGAAGAAUGACAUUUACUUGCGUUGAAUCCCACAUCGGUUGUGGAAAGGGGUAAUGUGCCCCUUAUAUGGGCCAUAGACACUCCUCCCCUCAAAGGUGAGUUAGGUCUGGCCCAAAUUGAAUAUGGUAUCAGAGCCUCCCCAUCCGAUGUUGGGCCUUCUAUAGAUAUGUCACGCACUAGUACAAUACUGGGCGUUAGAGGGUGUGUUGAAUCCCGCAUCGGUUGUGGAAAGGGUAAUGUGCCCCUUAUAUGGACCAUAGGCACUCCUGUUCUUGAGCUAGCUUUUGGGGUAAUCUUGUAAGCAUCAUCCUUCAUCAGAACUUUUUAAUGCUUUGCAGCAUAGGAAAAAGGUUCUAAAAUCUGAUCUCUUGACUGGUAGUUCAUCUGUGAUUAGCAAGGAACUUAGCUCAUUUCUUGAAUCUUCAACAAAUGGUAGGGCAAACACAAAUGAAUCUGCUCCAGAUCCUCUGCUCUCUCCAUUUCUUGGCAGUGGAACCCAUUCACACCUGCGAGGAAGCCAGCAAGAUGAACCUUCCAAUAGAACAGCCCAUUCAGAAAGGUAUGCUCUUCACAUGGCAUCGUGACACAUACUGUUUCUUGGUUUCAGACCACCAAAUUCAGACACUAAGUUGUGGUUCUUUCUUGAAUUGUAAAGAUAAUUUCCCUUUCAUAUGUAUUAUCUUUUCAUUUUAGAUUUGAAUCACGUUAACUUUUGUCUUGCACUUCCUUUUCUUGUUGGUUGACCUUGUUGAAGAUUGAUUUAAAAUUAGUACAUGGUUAACGUUAGUUUGAUUUAGUUUUUGUUAGUUAUUUUCAGUUCAGAUUUUUUAGGUUCUAUUUUCUUGUCUGUUAUUGAGUCAAGCCAGUGACAGAAUUUUCUCAUUCUGUUUUAUUAGUUUCUUUGUAAUGCCUAUUUAAAAGGUACUGAGCCAUUAUUGCAGUGUACUAAAGUGAAUAGCAGAUCGAACUGUCAGAUAUAUUGCAAUCUCUGAAUAAAGUCGUCAAUUCUCAAAUUCAGUUUGCUAGUUUCAGUUAACUAUAAAUCGAAUUUCAGCAUCGUCCGAAUUUAGAUAACUAAUUUUAUCCUCCGUUCUUUGCGAUCACCAAUCCCCUUUCCCUAACAAAAGUGGUAUCAGAGCCUCGUUCGUUCAAAACAUUAGGCGUUAACUCAUGGCAUCAAACGGCAAUGCUAUGAGUAUUUCUCAAUCGGCAAUUCUUGUUUUCAAAGGUGAAAACGAAUUCAGGAGUAUCCAGAUGAUAAUUCUAUUUAAGUCUCAAGAUUAUGGGACUUGGUUGAGAAAGGGUAUCCUGACGCAGAUGAAGAGACCAGCAUUGUCCGAAUUUCAGCAUUGUCCGAAUUUAGAUAACUAAUAGUUAGCUAUAAACCAAAUUUCAGCAUUUUCCGAAUUUAGAUAACUAAUUUUAUUCUCUGUUUUUUGCAAUCAUCAAUCCCCUUUCCCCAACAAAAGUGGUAUUAGAGCCUCGUUCAUUCAGAAAAUUAGGCGUUAACUCAUGGCAUCAAACGACAACGCUGUGAGUAUUUCUCAACCAGCAAUUCUUGUUUCAAAGGUGAAAACGAAUUUAGGAGUAUCCAAAUGAUAAUUCUGUUUAAGUCUCAAGAUUAUGGGACUUGGUUGAGAAAGGGUAUCCUACUAUCCUGACGCAGAUGAAGAGACCAGGUUGAAGGAAACUAAGAAGAAGGAUUCCAAAGCAUUAUUCUUCAUUUAGCAAGUUGUGCACGAGUCAGUUUUUUUAAAAAUAACAACAACUACUACUAAAAAUGCUUGGGCGACCUUGCAGACGGCGUACCAAGGCGCUUCUAAGGUAAUCACGAUUAAAUUUCAAUUCCUUCGUCGUGAUUUCAAAACCUUGCAAAUGAAGAGUGGAGAGACAGUGAAAGAUUUUCUCUUAAGAGUAACUGCAAUUGUUAAUCAAAUGAGGUCUUAUAGAGAAUAAAUCUUGGAUCAAACUGUUGUUGCAAAGGUGUUAAGGACUUUAAGUACAAAGUUUGAUCAUGUUGUGAUAGCCAUUGAAGAGUCUAAAGACUUGGCCACAUACUUAUUUGAUGAAUUGAUGGGAUCCUUAUAAUAUCAUGAAACGAGAUUAUACAAAUCAAAUGAAAAGAAUGAAGAGAAAGCCUUUCAUGUAAAAGGUGAAGCAGCUAGCAGAGGACGUGAAAAAGGAGGAUACAGAGGUAGAGGAGGUCGUGGCAGAAACGAUCAUAGUAUAGGAGAUGAGCCAAAAAAUGAGCAGCAUAAACAAAGAACAGAGAAUCAGGGAACUAGCAAAAGCAGUAUUCAAUGUUAUUAUUGCAAAAAAUAUGGGCAUGUAAAAACAGAUUGUUGGAAACAAAAUCAACAAGCUAAUUAUGCAGAAGAGGAAGAGGAGACCAAGUUGUUCAUGGCUUAUGAAGAUAGUAGAAUAACUUCAGGUGAUAUUUGGUUUUUAGAUAGUGGAUGCUCUAAUUACAUGACUGGCAUAAGGUCAUUGUUCAAAGAGUUUGAUGAGUCAUACAAGUUGACAGUGAGGCUUGGUGAUUGUUGAAUCCCACAUCGGUUGUGGAAAGGGGUAAUGUGCUCCUUAUAUUGGCCAUAGGCACUCCUCCCCUUAAACUAGUUUUUGGAGUGAGUUAGGGGUGGCCCAAGUUUAACAAUGAUGAUAAGGAAAUGCAAGUUGAAGGCAAAGGUAUCGUAGCAAUUAAAAAUAACAACAUAAUAUAAAGCUCCUGCACAAUGUUUAUUUCAUUCCAAGUUUAACACGGAAUUUGUUGAGAAUUGAGCAACUCAUGGGUAGUGGAUAUUCUGUUUUAUUUGAUGAUGGAUCAUGUGAAAUUAGAGAUGAAAAAUCAGAUUAGAUUAUAGUCAUUGUUUCCAUGUCUAAAAAUAAGUUGUUUCCUCUUGAAAUCUCUAGUAUUGAGAAUAAUCAUGCUCUUAUUGUCAAAGAGAGCAGUGAAUCCAUGUUGUGGCACUUAUGGUAUGGGUAUCUGUAUGUAAAGGGUCUCCAGUUGUUGAGUAAAAGACAAAUAGUUUUUGAGUUACCUAAAAUAGAGUCUCUAGAUUUGUGUGAAAGGUGUAUUUAUGAGAAACAAUAUAAAAAAUCGUUUCCUAUGGGAAAGUCUAGAAGAGCAACUGAAUGUCUUGAGAUUGUGCAUGCUGACUUGUGUUGUCCCAUGAAAACGCAGUCUUUUGGUGGGAGCAGAUAUUUUUUAUUGUUCACAGAUGAUUUCAGCUGAAUGAGCUAGGUGUAUUUUCUGCAAUCCAAGUCAAAAAUUUUGUGGUUUUCAAGAAAUUCAAGGCAUUUGCUGAGAAGCAAAGUGGGCAAAGUGUAAAAACACUUCAAAUCGAUAGAGAAGGAGAGUUCGUGUCCCAUGAAUUUAAUCAUAUAGAAUUAACAGCUCCAUAUACGCCAGAGCAAAAUGAAGUAGCUGAACGAAAGAAUCGCACGAUGGUGGAAAUGACAAGAAGUUUGUUAAAAGCCAAGGGAUUAUCAGAUGAUUUUUUAACAGAAAGUAUUGCAACUAUCGUUUGCUAAAUUUAUUACCAACAAAAACUGUUUUGAACAAAACACCAUUUGAAACUUGGAGUGUUAGAAGACCCUCGAUGAGCCCGUGAGCCAUUUGAAAAUUUUUUAUUGUAUUGCCUAUGCUUUAAUUGAUUCUCAUAAUUGUAGCAAAGUUGAUGAUAAAUCAAUAAAAUGUAUUUUUGUUGGUUAUUGUAUUUAAUUAGGCUGUAUAAUUCUAUUAGUGGCAAAGUAAUUGUGAGCAAGAAUGUUGUCUUUGAUAAAGAAGCAAGUUGGCCUUAGCAAGAAAAUCCAGACAGUGUAUAGAUUGAAAGUUCAGUUGAAAUACGACAAGCAGAUUCUCUACCUAUUUAAAUAUAGCAAGCUACUUCUCCAAUUUCAGCAAUCUCAUCUUCAUCUGAAGAUGAAACUCCUCCUAGAAGAUUCAAAUCAUUGGCUGAAAUUUAUGAGACUCGGAAAAAGAAGAGUGGCACAAUACUAUGAAAGAUGAAAUUGCAGCAAUUCAAGGGAAUGAAACUUGGGAAAUGGUGGAUCUUCUUAAAAACAAGAAAGCCAUUGGUAUCAAAUGGGUCUUUAGAACAAAGUUUUAAGCAGAUGGCAACAUUCAAAAAUGAAAAGCUCGACUUGUAGUAAAAGGCUAUUCAUAGCAACAAGGUGUGGAUUACUAUAACACCUCUCCCGUUGCACAGUUUGAAACGGUUGAGAACUCUUUUAACCUUAGCUGCUCAAUGAAAUUGGCCAAUCUACCAAUUUGAUGUCAAAUCUGCAUUCCUAAAUGGAGAGUUAGAAGAGGAUGUGUACGUGUCUCAACUUGAAGGUUUUGUUAUUUGUGGGAAAGAACAGCAAGUGUAUAAGCUAAAAAAGGUAUUGUAUGAGCUUAAAGCAUGGUACAACAAAAUAGAUAGCUAUUUUUUGCAGAAUAGUUUUGAACGAAGUAAGAAUGAACCCACUCUCUACUUAAAGAGGCAAGGUACAAAUGAUCUUAUUGUUUACCUUUAUGUUGAUGGUAUGAUAUAUAUGGGUUCUUCUUCUUCUCUAAUUAAUGAGUUCAAGUUAGAGAAAAAGUUUGAAAUGUCAAAUUUGGGGUUGUUACAUUAUUUUCUUAGAUUACAAGUCAAGAAAGUUGAAGAUGGAAUCCUCGUGUUUCAAAGGAAAUAUGCAAUUGAUUUACUUAAGAGUUUAAUAUGUUGAAUUGUAAGACUACAGCUACUCUCAUGAAUUUAAAUGAGAAGUUACAGGUUGAUGAUAGAACUGAACUAGCUAAUGCAAGUUAUUUUAGAAGUACGGUUGGUGACCUAAUUUACUUGAUGCAUACAAGACCUAACAUUACCUUUUCAGUUGGGGUAAUUUUCAGGUUCAUGCACUAUCUUUAAAGCAUCAUCUUGGAGCUGCAAAAAGAAUCUUGCAUUAUGUAGCUGGUACUAUUAAUUUUGGGUUGUUGUAUACAAAAACUGCAAACUUUAUACUGUUUGGUUUCAGUGAUAGUGAUUGAGCGGGAUGUUUAGAGGACAGAAGAAGUACCUCAAGCUAUAUGUUUAACUUUGGGUUAGCAGCUAUUUGUUGGAGUUCUAAAAAACAAAAUACAACAGCCUUGUCCUCAUCAAAAGCAAAAUAUGUAGUUGUAACUGCAUCAGCAUGUCAAGUAAUUUGGUUAAGAAGAAUUCUUGCAUACUUAUGGCAAGAACAAGAUGGAGCAACUGAGAUUUAUUGUAACAAUAAAGUAGCAAUUGCAAUGUCUAAAAAUCCAGCUUUUCAUGGAAGAACAAAGCAUAUAGACAUUUGAGUUCACUUUAUUCGUGAUGCUGUGGCACAGGGAUGACUUCAUUACACUAUGGCAGUAUAAAUGAUCAAGGAUGACUUCAUUACACCAUUGCAGUAUAAAUGAUCAAGUGACAGAUAUUCUUACAAAGUCAUUUUCUCAAGAUAAGCAUGUCUAUUUCUGAAAUUAACUUCGAGCGUGCAAUUUUAAAUCAGAGGAGUGUGUUGAAGAUUGAUUUAAAAUUAGCCUACGUCAGUUUGGUUUAGUCUUUAUCAGUUGUUUUCUGUUCAGAUUUUUUAGAUUUUAUUUCCUUAUAUGUUAUUGAGUCAAGCCACAUUCACUGUAGUGGCAGUAUUUUCUCAUUUUUAUUUUAUUAGUUUCUUUGUAAUGUCUAUUCAAAAUGUAUUGAGUCAUUAUUCAGUGUACUGAAGUGAAUAGCAUAUCAGACUAUCAGAUAUAUUACAAUCUCUAAAUAAAGUCGUCAGUUCUUAAAUCCAA